rnacentral:lncRNA from 1 species
UAAUAUCUACCAGAUUUAUGAAGGAAAUAAGCAGGAAAAUACCUGGAAUCACUUAGAGAAGCAGCAUUGAUGAGUGUCGACGAGAGGAACCCAAAUUAAGGUUUUUGGGAAUUUUUUUUUGAAUGAAUGGCAUCUGUAGAAGCAUGCCUUUUAUACCUCCCAAACAACACCAUGUAUGCCUGCAAAGCACAACAGCAGAACACCCACGAGAUUAAUGAAAC